GACAGAGGGUGCAAACGUUGUUCGGAAUUACUGGGCGUAAAGCGCGUGUAGGCGGUCGUGCAAGUCGGGUGUGAAAGCCCCAGGCUCAACCUGGGAAGUGCAUUCGAUACUGCGCGACUCGAGUCCCGGAGAGGAUGGUAGAAUUCUCGGUGUAGAGGUGAAAUUCGUAGAUAUCGGGAAGAAUACCGGUGGCGAAGGCGGCCAUCUGGACGGUGACUGACGCUGAGACGCGAAAGCGUGGGGAGCAAACAGG
rnacentral:rRNA from 1 species